GAUAUGAACCGUUAUAACCGGCGAUACCCGAAUGGGGAAACCCAGUGUGACUCGUCACACUAUCAUUAACUGAAUCCAUAGGUUAAUGAGGCGAACCGGGGGAACUGAAACAUCUAAGUACCCCGAGGAAAAGAAAUCAACCGAGAUUCCCCCAGUAGCGGCGAGCGAACGGGGAGGAGCCCAGAGCCUGAAUCAGCAUGUGUGUUAGUGGAAGCGUCUGGAAAGGCGCGCGAUACAGGGUGACAGCCCCGUACACAAAAGCGCAUGUGCUGUGAGCUCGAUGAGUAGGGCGGGACACGUGGUAUCCUGUCUGAAUAUGGGGGGACCAUCCUCCAAGGCUAAAUACUCCUGACUGACCGAUAGUGAACCAGUACCGUGAGGGAAAGGCGAAAAGAACCCCGGCGAGGGGAGUGAAAAAGAACCUGAAACCGUGUACGUACAAGCAGUGGGAGCACCCUUUGGGUGUGACUGCGUACCUUUUGUAUAAUGGGUCAGCGACUUAUAUUCUGUAGCAAGGUUAACCGAAUAGGGGAGCCGGAGGGAAACCGAGUCUUAACCGGGCGUUAAGUUGCAGGGUAUAGACCCGAAACCCGGUGAUCUAGCCAUGGGCAGGUUGAAGGUUGGGUAACACUAACUGGAGGACCGAACCGACUAAUGUUGAAAAAUUAGCGGAUGACCUGUGGCUGGGGGUGAAAGGCCAAUCAAACCGGGAGAUAGCUGGUUCUCCCCGAAAGCUAUUUAGGUAGCGCCUCGUGAAUUCAUCUCCGGGGGUAGAGCACUGUUUCGGCUAGGGGGCCAUCCCGGCUUACCAACCCGAUGCAAACUGCGAAUACCGGAGAAUGUUAUCACGGGAGACACACGGCGGGUGCUAACGUCCGUCGUGAAGAGGGAAACAACCCAGACCGCCAGCUAAGGUCCCAAAGUCAUGGUUAAGUGGGAAACGAUGUGGGAAGGCCCAGACAGCCAGGAUGUUGGCUUAGAAGCAGCCAUCAUUUAAAGAAAGCGUAAUAGCUCACUGGUCGAGUCGGCCUGCGCGGAAGAUGUAACGGGGCUAAACCAUGCACCGAAGCUGCGGCAGCGACACUGUGUGUUGUUGGGUA
rnacentral:rRNA from 1 species